GAUUUCGUGCCCCGUCCGCUUGACGACCGAGCCGCCCGCCCCCCUUUCCUCCUCCCUUCGUCUCGCCCGCGGCCGCCGAACGCGGCGCGGAGGCGGCGGAGGCGGUUACCGGCUCGGCUCUACCGGAGGGCGCGCGCGGUCCCGCCGGAGGUAUGGGCACGCCGGAGUUCCCCAACCUGGGGAAGCACUGCAGCGUCGGCGACUGCAACCAGAUCGACUUCCUCCCCUUCACCUGCGACCGCUGCGACCAUGCCCUCGAGGACAUAAACCAAGCUACGAUUGGACAAAUGUGAGUAUUCCUUCAAUAUAGAAAACACCUAGAAUUGAAUUUUCUAGUUACCCAUAUUUUUUUACUAGUAAUCUUAUUGUACCAUAUGGCGAUAUUUGGAAUAUUUCCAAAACACAUAUCCUUUAUUUUUUGUAAGCCGUUUGUAAGAUCCACAUUUUGUUGCUUCUGUUGAAUAGCAUAACAAUUUUGCCAAGGUUGCAAGCAAAAUAAUGGUGGUGGUGGUGGUGGUGGUGAUGAUGAUGGUGAUGAUGAUGAUAAUAAUAAUUUAUUAUUAUUUGUUCA